rnacentral:pre_miRNA from 1 species
UAUAGACUUGCUGAGUCAUAUGGUAAGUAUAUUUUUAACUUUUUGAGGAACUGCCCAACUGUUUGAUAAAGUAGCUAUAUCAGUUUACAUUCCCACCAGCAAU